CAAGACAACGUCGCUCUUUGCUUUUACUCCGUGUAUCGGCUCUAUCUGCGCCCCAACACCGUUCCCAGCAGGUGGGACACAGUCGGAGCCCCGGGGGACUUUUCUCCGGGCGGACUGACACAGCUCGGCGGUCAGUGUGGCCGCUACGCACAAUCGCACAAUCCCGAGACCAAGAGAAGGGCGGCGAGCGCGGGCGCCACCGAAGGGGACGUGCCUGGAAACACUACAGCACACUCCCCCUUUCUCCCUCCUCAGCUAAAACACCCUCCGACCAAAGAACUGCUUCCCAGCCCGAAGGGGAGCCACUCCACCCUCAGGUAGAGGCCACGCAGCCCACCGCAGGGCGACCCGGCAAAGGCUCUCGAACGUGGGCCACCGGUUUCCAGCCCCGGCGCCCCGAGGAGGAAAGCCCUGGCCGAGACACACAGCCGGGACGCGGAGGUCCAACCCACGCACGCGGGGUGACUCCACCGUGCACCGACCCGAGCGGCACUGUUUGCAAACUGCACGAGCGUAUCUCCUUUUGAGUGGAGAGAAACUUAAAAUAUAUAUACAUGUAUUCCUUUAAGUGAAAGAAAAAUUACUUUUCAGAGAAAGUGUAUUUUCCAGAGCUCCAAUGCACACGCCGUACGUGCAGGAUUCAGAUCCCUGGGCUGGAAACUCCGCACAGAUUUGCUUGCAGUGUAAAGUAGCAUCUUGGGGGUGGAGGGGCGUGGGGCUGUUUACAAAAGUGAUUUGUGGCGAUUCCUGGCCUUUGCAGCACCCCCUCACAGCGCGCGCCCCCUCAGCACCCCCUCCCCCCAGUGCUUUGAAACACCUCUAAGAACAGUUUGUGAUCAGACUAAGGAUUAGAGGGAAAGGACUUCAGCACAAGGGUGGGGCAAACCGACACAGAAACCGUUUUGUAAAAACGCACAAGAUCCCGAAUUAAAAACGGCAGAAACAAAAAAGAUCAGUCCAGCAAAGGAAAUAAGAAACUAGCUUCUUUUACCACCCGUUUUCGGGUAAUGGAAAACAAUCGCGACCGCUUGACGACUUUCUUCCUGUGCUAGGUCACCUCUAUCUUCCAAAAGUAAAAAAAAAAAAAAAAAAAAGCUUGAGCCAGAUCGGCCACGGAGAACGGAAAGACGAGAAAGCUGCGCUUCCGAACCACAGAGACCCGGCGCCAGGCAGGGCGCCGCUCGCACCCGCAACCCGCACCCGGCUCGCCUCGGUCCACACGGGGCAGAGGUGGGUCUCCCUCGCCCUGCACCCUGCUUUUUCCACCCGCAGGGGCUCGCUGCCCCCUGAGAGGCGAGUGACCCGCGCGCCCUCUGUCCCUCCGUUGCCCCUGCCUCGGGACAGCCUCACCCUGGGAUGGCCUUCUCUGGAGAGCAGCGCGCCAGCCACCGCGCCAGGAGCAGUAGACCCAAAGCGCCUCACCGUAAUCGCGGCUUUGCACCAACCCCUCUCCGUUGGAUUCUCUUUUUUCCUGCGAUGUGCAAAUAAAUCCACCGAUGCAAACUUUUCCCUCCUUUCCAAACUCUGCUUCAGCCCAACUUCCGAGCAAGCGAUAGGA